GAUAAGUAAUACAAUGCCCCCAAUUUCAUAGCUGUAAGGAGUCAGAAGAGGAAGGUAAAUAACUCAAAAACUAUAAAAAAGGUAAAUAAAAAUGCGGCCCAACUGAAAAGUUGCUAAGGUAAGGCCAUUCCGUAACAUACUAAACAUUAAAGCAGACUGGUAGGACAGACAAGACUGUGACACAGCUUAAUGGGAGCAGUGACACACAGGGAGGGUCCCAGGCUGUGAGCAGAGGGACAUGGGGGAGGCACUUGGGCUGCUAUUGCAGAGUGUCUGACUGCCAGACUUUCAGCAGAGCAAGUGAGGGAAAAGGGAGGUGCUGGGGAUGAUUUUUGGGUAUUUAGGAAAAACUGGAUCUGAAUGCUAAAAACUGUUCUAAAAACUGCAGUAACUCUUUCGCAAAAAUAGGCUGUAAAAAUAAAAACCGUUUCCAAUACAAUUAGUUAGCCAAAAACGUGAACGGAUGUCUAAUAGUGAUGUGCGGGCCGACCCGACACCCACGGGUGAGGUAGGUUCAGGCUGACCACGGCACUUCACUUGCGGGUCGUGGGUGGGUUCAGCUUGAGCUUUUGUGCUCGCUCUCCCCACCCGCAAACUAACACUGCUGGCUGCCUCUUCUGGCUUCUGAAUUUAUAGGUGUGUUACCGCCCGCCCCUUUUAUGACAUCAUUGCGGGGUGGGUGCGGGUCUAUAAGUACAGGGCACAAGACACAUCGGGUAGGGUUCUGGUUGAGUUUUUCUAGACUAGCACAUCACUAAUGUCUAAGGUAAACUGCAAACUGAAAAGUCAUGAUCCGCAUGCAGGGCCACCUUAAGGGAGGACAAUUGUCCCAGGCCCCUUGGGUUUUUGUGUUAGGGGGGCCCGGCUGUGCUGCACUUGAUUAGCUGGCCCCCCUGCUGUCAGUGAGCUGCAGACUUGGGAAGGGGGGUGGGGCCUACAUCCUUACUCUAACAGCUUUCCCUGCUGCUCAUUUGUCACUAACGUGUAAGCAGUUAAAGCUGCAUGGGGAUUGGAUGGGCUGAAAGGGAAGUCAAACUUCCCCCAUCCAAUCCCUGGGUGGCUCUACCGGGACUUAAUCUUCAGUUACAAACCAGCAAUACAAAUAGGUGUGAGGGGAAGAAACAUGUGGGCACCUGAGCACCCUCCUUUCUCAAGUCUGCAGCUCCCUAACGGCAGGGGGGGCUGGAUAAUCAACUAUCCUCAUGCUUUUUAUUAUUAUAUUAUUUAAACUAUCAAUCACAACAUGUGCAUUUUCUACACCACUGCCUGGUUCUCCACUAAAUAAACAGGAACAUGAGAAAUUCUUCAGCCUUCUGAUAUCAGAAUCACCGGAUUGUACAAUCCGGCGAUUCGAUGCUUAUGAAAACCACGGCGUUACACCAGCUGGUCCUAUUUGCCCUAAUUUGCUAAAUUUCGCUGCGCUCAAAGACUCUUCUAUGCAAAGAGGAUUCCAUGUGAAGAUCAUAAAGUGACAACUACCCAGGCAUCAGACGCUAUGCCUAAACAAGAAGUUCAAUCUGUUACCUCGUCACUUCCGGCUGAGACACAUAAAUGAGAAUGGUUCUUCAGAGACAGAAGAUAGGAAAUUACAUAGCGCAGCACAAAAGCCUAUGAAGGCUAUGUACAAAUUUGAUGAAUUUGUAAAGGUAAAUGCUCCUCACCUGGCAAAGCCAAAGGAGAAACCUUUACUUUCAAAACUGCAAGCUUACUUAGAGGCACACCCAACAACAAGGAAGAAACCUAUUAAAGAACAAAAUGAAGAGGAAGUGUUAAACAAACCUUAUGCUUCACAAGAAAGCUCAGAGGAGGAUAAUGAUAUCCAAUCCUUUGCUGGGCUGAAGUUUUAUGUCACCCCUGCGACAUGAAUAUAAUAUUUCUGGACUUUUUUAAAAAUCUGCACCUGGCUUACGCCUCUGAGGAUGUCAAAGAUGGGUGGGAUAUAGGUGGUGACAUCAUCAAAGGGGGUGUUUUGUUAACAGUGAAGUCACAAGAAGAAGAGAUUAAGGGGGCAAAGAAAGGAGAGCAUGCCCAUGGGGUGUAACAUUGAAUAUUAAAUAAAUAUCAAAUUAAAAUCGUGCAACCAGUGCAUUUCAUUA